GCAAUGGUGGUUCAAUGGUAGAAUUCUGGCUUUCCACGCAGGAGACUGGGUUUGAUUCUCUGCCAAUACA
rnacentral:tRNA from 1 species